CAAUGAUUAAGUCAGUCGUCUUCACAGAUUGUGUUACACAUGCAUCGGGAACACACAAGAGUUAAGAUUUGACAAUUGUUGCUGUGAAAACCACUGAUUCUUUGAGUGGUUACUUCACAACAAGAGGCCAGCCUGUGUGGCUAUCUACUGAAAGAACCGAAUUCCAUUAUAUUAAUUUACUUGAGUACAUCGAGUCAUCGACGAUGUUGUGAAUAAUUGGGAGGAAUGUUUAUUCAUAUAUUCAAUUCUGCUCGACGGAUUUCUUCAGUAAGCUAUUGCAGUUACAAAGGAAAUCCGUUGGGCAGAACUGAAUAUAUGAAUAAUCACAUCCCCAAUUAUCCUCCCAGUUUCGGCCCUGACCACUGGGUCGAGACAUUCCUGCUCCUCAUUCGAUACUUCGAACGCGAAAUGACGUCAUUCAUGAUCAAAGCAGCGCGGCCUCUCUUUUUGUAAAUCAUGGAUGGAAGUCUCUCACUUCGCCCAGUCUCAGUGUCAUACAUGAUGACGUCAUUUAAUGCCUGAUCAUUCUUAUCCUGACCGCCAAUAACGAUAAUCAUAUUAGCCCAAGUGACUGUGGACAUGACACUGUGGGUGUGAGGGCAGGAAAUUGAUCUCGCUUGUCUGCGUAGACAGUUGUUGCAGUGGUACUGUAAGAUCCUUGUGCCAAAGAUCAAAUUCCCUCAAGCUUAUGGCGUGACUAGCAAGCAAGUCAGAGUGAAGUGAAGGACAGUAUAAAAGAGUUAAGAAAGCAGUUUCAGAAAAUAAUGAUGAUGAUGAUGAACCAAGCAUUUCAAGGAAAUAAUUCAAACAAGGAUGAUGUUGUGAGUUACAAUGGAACAAGAAUUACAACAUAGGAGAAGAAAAGUCAACUCCGCAUCAUCCUCGAGGAGCAUCAGCAUCGUGUGUUUACAACAAUGUAAUGGUAUAUUCCUUGUCAAAUUUAUCAUUAUAUAUAAUAGGAGGAUAUGACUGGAAUGAAAGAAAAACAUCGAAUGCCAUUUAUGAGAUUGCUCUUACCUCACCUUAUACUGCCAAGCUGCUGACGAGAAUGACUGAGCCAAGAAGGAAUCACGAAGCAGAACAAUGACUCGGUUACAUAUUAGUCAUGUCCAUCGUUACCUCAGCCUGUUAGUGACAUAUCCGCAGACACUUGGGCUAAUAUGAUCAUUGUUUUGGCGGUGAGGAUAAGAGUGAUCAGACAAUAAAUGACGUCAUCAGUAUGGACACGGAGGCUGGACGAAGUGAGAGACUUCGACCCAUGAUUUACAAAAGGAGCGGCUGCUCUGCUGUCAUCAUAAAUGACGUAAUUGUCCUUUUUAGAGGACGGGAUAAGCAGGAGGGAUAUCUCAACUCAGUGGGAUCUUUCACCACUGGUGGUUAUGCCCUCAAAGAACUGCCAGGAAUAAUAAGGAAGAUAAAUCUUAAACCUGCAAUUAAACCGCUGUAGAUAACGUACCAAGGUAUACACCUUAUAUAGAAUUAUAUCGUAAAGUUGGGCAUAAAUGUCCUUUUAUGAAAUUGAAUCAUUUAAGACCGUUAAAUUUGCGAAUAGAAGAGUAACAAAGAACACUCGUCACAGAUAAAAUAACGAACAAUGAAUUUUUUAAAUAUGCCCAAAGACAUGUAUAUUUGCUCAAAAAACAAUAUAAGCCAGCUAUUAAUACCAUCACAAUGUAUUAAAGCAUU
rnacentral:lncRNA from 1 species